UACGUAGGGGCCAAGCGUUGUCCGGAUUUAUUGGGCGUAAAGAGCUCGUAGGCGGUUCGGCAAGUCAGCUGUGAAAUCUCCACGCUCAACGUGGAGGGGUCAGCUGAUACUGCUGUGACUCGAGUCCGGUAGGGGAGUGGUGGAAUUCCCAGUGUAGAGGUGAAAUUCGUAGAUAUUGGGAAGAACACCGAUGGCGAAGGCAGCCAUCUGGACCGACACUGACGCUGAGGCGCGAAAAGCGUGGGGAGCAAACGGGAU
rnacentral:rRNA from 1 species